AUUGAACGCUGGCGGCAGGCUUAACACAUGCAAGUCGAGCGGGGUGAUGGUGCUUGCACUAUCACUUAGCGGCGGACGGGUGAGUAAUGCUUAGGAAUCUGCCUAUUAGUGGGGGACAACAUCUCGAUAGGGAUGCUAAUACCGCAUACGUCCUACGGGAGAAAGCAGGGGAUCACUUGUGACCUUGCGCUAAUAGAUAAGCCUAAGUCGGAUUAGCAAGUUGGUGGGGUAAAGUCCUACCAAGGGGACGAUCUGUAGCGGGUCUGAGAGGAUGAUCCGCCACACUGGGACUGAGACACGGCCCAGACUCCUACGGGAGGCAGCAGUGGGGAAUAUUGGACAAUGGGGGGAACCCUGAUCCAGCCAUGCCGCGUGUGUGAAGAAGGCCUUAUGGUUGUAAAGCACUUUAAGCGAGGAGGAGGCUCUUUUGGUUAAUACCCAAGAUGAGUGGACGUUACUCGCAGAAUAAGCACCGGCUAACUCUGUGCCAGCAGCCGCCGUAA
rnacentral:rRNA from 1 species